AAAUAAAUAAAUAAGGUCAAACGGGGCACACAGGAGCACAGCAGCCCGUGUGACCAUCUAGGCCUCGCCCUGGAGGCCCCACCCCUGCCUUCUUUUUGGGUAAGGCCUAAUAUGGUUGUCUACCUGCCAAGCCCUCCUUUCCUCAAAGAAAGAGCGUUUUUGCUGGGUUUUCACAAACCUGCUGUCUAGCCGUGCGCUGUUUGUUCCUUGAUCUGGUGGUUGGGGCUGCACUGGUUACAUUUGGGUAGGUAGACAGACCCCUCAUAGUGUGAAGGGGAGGAAAGGGCAGCCACCUAAACUGCCUAAGAAGAACGUUGCCUAAUCCUAAGUGUUUCAGAAACUUAUAAUUUUUAGUUAAGGUAAAACUCAGAUUGAAUUCCCCCUUGAACCUUUUUGCAUUUGAUAAGAGUUUUAUUUCCUAAAACUGACAGCAAUGACAGUUGUGUUGGAUUUCAGCCCUGAGUAUUUAUUUCUAGAUUUAACAAUUUGUUUUGUCUUCGUAGCAAGCAAUUGCCUUCCUUCCUUUCUCUCUUCCUCUGUGUGUGUCUCUCUCUCCCCUUCCUUUCUUUGCAAUUUCCUUCCUUUCUCAAGCUCAUGAUGAAAAUUGACCCUUCAGUUUUGUUUUCAGAUGAAAGCUCGAGCAGCAAGCCGGCGCUUGCCUCCAUUAGUGGCUGUGGGUAGUCCUUGCAGGAGACAUCACCGUCAGCAAAUCAUCAUCCAUUUAGAGUGGGCUGCAGAGGCUAGGCAGCUCCCUGACUUCACUCUCCGGGAGCCUCUUACAAAUAGGCAAGGAGUGGCCCUGGUACAAGUGCCAUUCAGCGAGGCACUGGAGUGUCCCAGAAGCUUUUGUUGACAAUUCCAGUUUCCGAACAAAACAUUUCGGCAAUGGUGAGGGCUUCAAUCCCUUCUCUGAUUUGCUGUCGGCCAUGAGCGGAUGGAUGUGAUGCCUGCUAGCCAAAAGGCUUCCCUCUGUGUGUUGCAGUCCUGUGGCAUUAUGCAUGCCCCCUCCCAGUGACCCCAGGCUUUUUAUGGCUGUGAGACACGACAAAAUUUCAGGGUAAAGAUGUGACCU